rnacentral:rRNA from 1 species
UACGUAGGGUGCAAGCGUUAAUCGGAAUUACUGGGCGUAAAGCGUACGCAGGCGGCUUUGCAAGACAGGUGUGAAAUCCCCGGGCCUAACCUGGGAACUGCAUUUGUGACUGCAUGGCUAGAGUCUGUCAGAGGGGGGUGGAAUUCCACGUGUAGCAGUGAAAUGCGUAGAGAUGCGGAGGAACACCGAUGGCGAAGGCAGCCCCCUGGGCUAGCACUGACGCUCAGGCACGAAAGCGUGGGGAGCAAACAGG